GGUGGCUUCGGCCAUAGUGGCGCACGGGUGAGUAACGCGUGGGAAACUGCCCAUCAGUGGGGAAUAACAGAGGGAAACUUCUGCUAAUACCGCAUACGCCCUUCGGGGGAAAGAUUUAUCGCUGAUGGAUGUGCCCGCGUCCGAUUAGGUAGUUGGUGGGGUAAAGGCCUACCAAGCCUACGAUCGGUAGCUGGUCUGAGAGGAUGAUCAGCCACACUGGGACUGAGACACGGCCCAGACUCCUACGGGAGGCAGCAGUGGGGAAUAUUGGACAAUGGGCGAAAGCCUGAUCCAGCAAUGCCGCGUGAAUGAUGAAGGCCUUAGGGUUGUAAAGUUCUUUCGGGUGGGACGAUGAUGACGGUACCACCAGAAGAAGCCCCGGCUAACUUCGUGCCAGCAGCCGCGGUAAUACGAAGGGGGCUAGCGUUGUUCGGAAUUACUGGGCGUAAAGCGCACGCAGGCGGCUCGUUAAAUUAGAAGUGAAAGCCCUGGGCUCAACCCGGGAAUUGCUUUUAAGACUGGCGAGCUUGAAUCCAGAAGAGGGUAGUGGAAUUCCAAGUGUAGAGGUGAAAUUCGUAGAUAUUUGGAAGAA
rnacentral:rRNA from 1 species